UUUAAUAUUUUUUAUCAGCUGUCAAAAUUAAUUUUUUAAGCACUAUUAUGAAUUUAAACAAUUUUAACAAUCAGCUGACAUUUGACAAAUAAUUAUUUUGUUUACAAACAUUUCACAAGUUAACCUAGUGAUGCAUAAUUACGCUUUGCUGUCAAAUAUAAGUUCCGGCAAGACUGAUCCCAGAUCAGUACUUUCUAAACAAUGCUACUUAAUUUUUAUUGUCAAGAUCGUUUAUUACAUAAUACUGUACAAAUCCGUCACGUCACCUUGAAAAUAAAUUACAUGACCUUUUCCUUCAUUCAGAUGUUCAUGUGAAAUAAAAAUAUAGAACUCGAGUGGCCUUGAUCAGUUUGUUCAAUACCAGGGUUCAAGACAAAAUGCCAUUUGUCAUUGUCUAUGUCAUAAUGACUAUUAAAUCGAUGAUACUAUUAAUCUAGUAUAUAUUUUAACAGUAUAUAGAUCUGUUUAUUAUUUAUACUCAGGCACAGAGCCAAGUUUUAUCGCAAGAAUUUAUCGCUCUUAAAUUUGAAUUUCUUUUUUUUUUUGAGCUUUAUUAAAGCCCCCAAAGACUGAGUAAUUAAUUUCUUCAGCCAACAAUAGUCCUGCAGCAAUGUGUCGAAGGUAUAAGGA